rnacentral:misc_RNA from 1 species
CUCAAACUCGAGGUUCAUGCCUGGAAGGAGAAGAAUACAUAUCGUUAAAUUUAUUAGCACCGAGGCAAAACUUAUUCGUGUUAAGUAACUACGGUAAAUAAUCACAGAUUCCAUUCAAUUUGAUUGACGCAAGCAUGGCAGAGAGGAUAAAGCAGUGCAACAACUAUGUGGUAUGGCGCGAAAUGUCCAAAUAUGAAACAUGGGGCAUCUAUGAUCAGCAAAUUAACCUUAUUCGUUCGCUCUUCAUCCUAUAUAUCUUACCAGUUAAGUCCAUUCAAAGCAUCAGAAUAUUUAAAAGCCAUAAGACGGGCAAAUUAUCCUCAAGUGGAAUUAACAAAACACCACACUGCGAGAUUAGCAUAUUAACAGACAUUUCGGUGAGAAUCAACAGAAUUUGCAACACGGCAGCCACCCUAAGGGCUAGUUUGGGAGCUACAAAACCGGAGGGUAUUGGAGAGGCUAGAAUCCAC